rnacentral:rRNA from 1 species
CUGUUUAGCAAAAACAUAGCCAUAUGUUAUAAUAUAUGGCUCUUUCUGCUCAAUGAUAAUUUAAAUAGCUGCAGUACCCUGACUGUGCAAAGGUAGCAUAAUAAUUUGGCUUAUAAUUGAAGUCUAGUAUGAAUGAAACCAUGGGGAGUAACUUUAUUAGUAAUAUAAAAUGAACUUACUUAUGACGUGCAAAUACGUAAAAAUUAAAUAAAAGACGAGAAGACCCUAGAAAUUUUAAUUAUUAUUGAACCACUUCGUUUUUGCUGGGGCGGCAUGAUUACAUUUAACUAAUCUAAAUAACUUGAAGUAAUACACAGGAUGAAUAAAUUACUCUAGGGAUAACAGCAUAAUUUAUAAAAGUUUGUGACCUCGAUGUUGGAUUAGGAAUUUGAAGUCUAGAAGACUUACAAAUAUGCUCUGUUCGAGCAGUUACUCCUACAUGAUCUGAGUUCAAACCGG